GGUUUGAAGGAUGAAGAAGGAUCAGACCGCUCAAUGUUUUGUUUCAAUCAUCAACACAAUCACUCAGUAAGUGUGCUUCAGUUCCUCAUCCAUAAGUGGAGACUGAUAUGUUUUAUGGUUUUCUUGUUGAUGCUUCUCAUUAUUACAGUGAUAUAUAUUACAGAUGAUGAUGCCUUUUAAACUCAACUAUAUAUGGUCAAAUCAUGUUCUUGUUAAUGCAUCUAGUAAGGUUUAUUAUUUGUACUUGAGAAAACGAUGGUCAAAAUCCUCUUCUUGAUGAUCUGUAAGUUAUCACUCAAAACCCUCUCUGCUUUUCGUUAUUUGAAUUUGUUCUGUUUCUAAGUUUAUUAUUUAUCCCUCAACCAAUACGUUGUGUUAAAUUUUGAUGGAGAUUUCAUUUUGGGAGCUCCAGCUUUGCCUGCCUGCAUCACAAACAAGAAUUUCAUCUUCAAACAAUGGCAAGGGCUACCCAGCAUACAGAGACGACCAUCUAUGCAACUUCAACGAAGAAGACGAAGAAGAAGAAGAAGAAGAGAAACCGGUCAAGGAUAUUAUAACCAAUUAGCUAAAACUCUUUCUUCACAACGCCAGCCUCUGGAAAGAACGAGUCAGUCCUACUGAUGUCUCGCAACAAUUUCCAAGAUGCAGAGGUCAGCAACAAAACUGCAGAUGCCAGGGGAUGCGACGUCUGAGCAGAUAGAAAACAAGGAGAAUAUUUUUUCCUCAAACCACCACUGCAUUUUUCUCAGGGAGGGAUAAGUCGAUGAACCUUAAGGAAGCAGCAGAGCAAACUGCUAGAAGAAACAUAGCUAGUCUGCCAAUGCGUUGUAUUAUUUGAUGCACAACAUAUCUGCAAGCAUUUAAGGAAUUACAUUUUCAAAAACAAUGGCAAGGGCUAACCAGCAGCAUGCAGAGACAUCUUCAAUAGCUUCAACGGAAGUGUCUAAAGCAGUACAAUGAUUGGGGAGCCUCACCUUACUGAACCAAAGAGCCCUAUAAGGGUUAUGACUUAUGAGCAGCAAAAACUAUUGCUGCCACACCAAAACAUUUUAUUCUCUGAAUUGUUAAUAUUUGUUGUGACCUUUCAGUUCGACUCUUGACCGAAUUUUUCUUGAUACCAUUGAUGAUUUUGAUUCCAGAUGGAGAUAUAUUUCUCACUUUCUUCUCAUCAUUAGGGAUGUCCUAACAACAACAACAACAACAACAAUAACAACAACGGCAUCAACAAUGGUCAUAUCUUUUCUGUGAAAAAGUUUGAACAAACACAAAGUUGCAGCUCUCCAAUGGAGAUUAUUAGUGAUGUAACUCAUAUGUUGACUUUUUACAUUAGUUUUAAAA